rnacentral:rRNA from 1 species
GAUCCUGGCUCAGGAUGAACGCUAGCUACAGGCUUAACACAUGCAAGUCGAGGGGCAGCAUGAACAAGCUUGCAUUCACCGAUGGCGACCGGCGUAUGGGUGAGUAACGCGUAUCCAACCUGGCGUGCACACCGGCACAGCCCCUGGAAACGGGGAUUAAUUCUGGAUGGUGUGGAUUAGGCGCAUGCCUUGUCCACUAAAGGUCUUCCGGUGCACGAUGGGGAUGCGUUCCAUUAGGUAGUUGGGGGUGUAACGGACCACCAAGCCGACGAUGUCUAGGGGUUCUGAGAGGAAGGUCCCCCACACUGGUACUGAGACACGGACCAGACUCCUACGGGAGGCAGCAGUGAGGAAUAUUGGUCAAUGGGCGAGAGCCUGAACCAGCCAAGUCGCGUGAGGGAAGACGGUACUAAGUAUUGUAAACCUCUUUUGUCAGGGAACAAAGAGACCACGUGUGGUAAGAUGAGUGUACCUGAAGAAAAAGCAUCGGCUAACUCCGUG